CCUACGGGAGGCAGCAGUGGGGGAUAUUGCACAAUGGGGGAAACCCUGAUGCAGCGACGCCGCGUGUGGGAAGACGGUCCUCUGGAUUGUAAACCACUGUCCCCAGGGACGAAGAUGACGGUACCUGGGGAGGAAGCUCCGGCUAACUACGUGCCAGCAGCCGCGGUAAUACGUAGGGAGCGAGCGUUGUCCGGAAUUACUGGGUGUAAAGGGAGCGUAGGCGGGACUGCAAGUUGGGUGUCAAAGCUACCGGCCCAACCGGUAGCCGCACUCAAAACUGCAGUUCUUGAGUGAAGUAGAGGCAGGCGGAAUUCCUAGUGUAGCGGUGAAAGGCGUAGAUAUUAGGAGGAACACCAGUGGCGAAGGCGGCCUGCUGGGCUUUUACUGACGCUGAGGCUCGAAAGUGUGGGGAGCAAACAGGAUUAGAUACCCCGGUAGUC
rnacentral:rRNA from 1 species